GAGAGGUGGCAGAGUGGCCGAAUGCACUGGUCUUGAAAACCAGCGACGGGUGACCGUCCGUGGGUUCAAAUCCCACCCUCUCC
rnacentral:tRNA from 1 species